rnacentral:lncRNA from 1 species
AGCCGCACCUGCGAUCCCAACUGACAAGACCUAAAUCCGCAUCUGCGGUCCAAAAUGCAGAGGUAUAAAAACAAUAGGUACUGCAACUUCAGCAAAAUGUAUGAGUCUCAAACCAAUCCGUUAAGCAUCUGAAACUCACCCGAGGCCCCUGACACCACAACCAAACAUACCAAACAAUCAUAAAACAUCAUACAAACUUAGUCGAGCCCCUAAAUAACAUCAAACAACACUAAAAUCACGAAUCACCCUCCAAUCUAAACUUAAUGAACUUGAAAUUUCAAUAUUCUACAACCGUUGCCAAAAUCGACCAAACCACAUUCGAUUGACCCCAAAUUUUGCACACAAGUCACAUUUAACACUAAAGACUUACUCCAACUUCCGAAAUUGGAUUCCAACCCUGAUAUAAAAAAUUCCACUAUCGGCCCAAAACUCUAAAAAUUCGACUUUCGCCAUCUCAAUCCUAAAUGACCUACAUACCUCAAAAACAUAAUUCGGACACGCCCCUAAAUUGACGAAAUUCUGUUCUAGAGCUGACUUCACACUGUUUCGACUAUAGUCCAAAUUUUAAGAGUUAAGCACUCAUUUAGGGACUAAGUGUCCCAAGACACUUCGAAACUCAAAAUGAAUCAUCCUAACAAAUCACAAUAGCAUAAAAUAGAUACGGAAAAGAAGUUAAUAGGGGUGUGACACCUCCUUUUUUACCUACACCCCCGGAAGGGCGUAAAUGAUUUUUCUUCCAACUUAAUGUGACAAUCAAAACGUUAUUAUUCAUUUCAAAUUCAGAGUCGCCACUUGGGAUAAUUUAUGGUGUCCCAAGUCAUCGGUUCAAAUCCCGAAUCGUGAAAAUGAUUGACUUUAUUUUACAGUCUGCGAACACAGAAAUCCGGGUAAGGAAUUCUGUUAACCCAGGAGAAGGUUUUAGGCAUUCCCGAAUUUCGUGGUUCUAGCACGGUCGCUCAACUGUUAUAAUUGGCCUAUUAUCUGAUUCUAAAACAUGUUAUAGCCUAUGGUUCAAUUUUAACUUUAUAAUCGCUUUUAUUCAUUUUUAAGGAAGAUUUCAACGUCAUCUAAAAUAAGUCUUUACAUGAAAUGCACCCGCAGUCCGAGACACAUUUUAUUUAACGUUGUUAAGAUUUGGAUUUAGGUCACACGAAAUGCGCACCCGAGUUUAGGAAGGUAAUUUUAAAUUACGCGCCUAAAUCAACUACAUAUUUUUAACUUUGCGAGGGCCAUGAAAAAUUUGCUAAAUGGCGCACCUCGAAUUCUAAGAAUUUUAAAUCAAUUAAAUGAGGGCCAUGCAUUUUGAGAUUUUGUUCGGCACGACACACCUCGAUUAUAACUUCAAAGGAUAUUCGAACUACUUUUGAAGGCCACAUAUUACGGAAGACAAUUAUCCCGUACAUCGCUAAGCUAAAAAUCUCAAUAACUAAUUUUAUAAGCCAACGAGAUCACCCAAGCUUACUGCCCAGUAAAGAUGGAAACAAUUAAUCAACGUGCGACUCCAAGACAUGCAUACCUACAUACUUCUUCUCAUUAAUCAAACAAUAUCCAUGACAUGAACGACUAACCUCAAUUUUUUGCAUUUAUUACUGGUGAUAUGCUUGAAAGACAUUUCCAGGAGAGAUCAAUACAUAUUAUCUAGUAGUGUCUAGGAGAGCAUAACAAAACUAACAUAUGCAUUAUAAAGCGAUAUGGAACACAAAAGGCAAACAAGCUCGCUUAAAAGCUUGACUCAAUAACACCAAUGAAUCACUAACAAUAGGAGAACGAAAAUCACUCAAUCCGGGAAAAUCAUGAGGAACAACAGCCCAUGGAAAUUCACAUUUAACUUCCUUAACUGGCUAACAAAGGUACUGUCUCAAUACUAAAUCGAAAGUAUCCAACAUGAACUUCUUAAGGUGCAUACUAAAGCUGAUAUUUCAAAACCUCCCGUCAAACGUUUUACAUAAUCAAAACAAAACCCACAUCAAUAUCAACAUGGAACAAUAUGUGCAGAAGGUUACUUUGUUAACCCUUCAAUAGACAAAUGAAGCUGGCCAAGCGAAUGAAAAUACACAACGAAAACGAACCUGGUAUUCCCAUGAUUAUCCAAACCAAACAUCCCAAUUACUCUUCAUUAACAUCCAGCAAAUACAUGAUUACCAAUAAUAUAGAGAUAACUAAACAUGAUGAUAAUCUAAACGUUCACACGCUUAAAGAUCACUUGAAUUUCAAUAGAAGAACUCAAUGAACACGCAACGACAUAGAAUGUAAACUUGAAUCAAGAGGAAAUUAAACAAAACAACUAUUGUAAAGCUCAAAUCACCAAAACACGUUCAAAUAAAUAAGAGUGAUACAGAAACAAACCUGCUAAGCCAAAAUUCUCUUCAAAAUGAAGUAGCACUAAAUACACAUGCCUUGAUGUAGAGCCCAAAUCGCAAAACAAAAACCAACAAAUGGGUUUGAUCUAGAAACUAAAAUCAACAAACUCAAAAUCGACCAUGACGAACCUCGAACCGGCAAACCUCGGGCAGAAAUGACUUCAACAACCUCAGCUCGACCCCGUUUACAAAAGCAAAAUCAGAAGAUGAAACUGAAAACUCGAUUCUUCACUCACUCAAUUUUUCUCUCCAAUUUUUUGAAACUCUGAAGCAGAAGGAGCAGAAACGGAAAGAGGGGCUCUUAGGUUAGGGAUUUUGGUGAAUGGUGGCGGGUGUUCUUGGUUGAUAGAGGAUUUCGCUGGAGGAAGCUAGGCUUUGGAAUAGAGGACUUCGCUGAUGGAAUCACGGUUGUUUCAAGGAAUUGUCGCCAGAUUUCCAGCAAGCUGGGUUAGUUCUGGUGAGAGAUGGAGACGUGGGCUGUUGUAUACGCUUGGUCGCCGGAGUUAUGGUGAGGAAGACGGAUUGGAUCUCUCAUAGGGUUCUUUUGUUUUCUGAUUUUUGAAGAUGGAGAAGAGAUGUCUUAGGGAUGUUUCUUGAUGAUUCCUUCAUUGAAGAAGACCAUCCCUAAAAGGGGGAGGAGGUCUCGUUUGGUUAUUGCGGGCGCUCAGAUUCUUUUUCCAGAGUCUCGCCUCAUUUAGCUGAUAGGCAUUACCUAUACUAUAGGUUUAGGUUUUAGGUGU